UCCAACUGUAGGGUCAUAUUGCCCUUGUAAUCUAAAAAAAAAAAGCCAUAUUUAUCCCUACUCCGUUAAAUCCCCAUGUCCACCUUGAUCUUCCUAUGUGGCGCCUACUUGGUCCGAAGAUACUGAUGAUGUUAGCAAGGAGAAGAUGUUUUCGGAGCUUGAUAGGAUGCAUGUUUGUUAUUUCAAGAUAGUAUCAUUAGGAAGAUAAAUUUCAACAUAAUAAGUGUAACAGUUUUAUAUCUGGUCGAUUUCUCUACCUUGGUAUCUGUCAUUGAAGCAAUGGGCAGUGAAAUAUUUUCUGCAAUGGAGAUCAACUAAUCUGGUUUUAGUAGUGUGAUGAAAGAACAGGCUUUGAAGCUUUGGGUGAGAAUUGAAAAGAGAAAAGAAGAUGAAACGAAAAGAAAAUGGUACGGUUUUAAUUUUUUUAGUGGAUCGGGUCGGACAGGCAAGUUAAAAGAGUUUAAAUGGAUGAGUAGAUUUAAUUGGGAGAAAAAGCCACAUAGGAAAAUUAAGUUGGGACAUGGGGAUUAAACGGAGUAGGGAUAUAUAUGACUCUUUUUGAGAGUACAAGAGCAAAGAUGGCCGUAAAGUUGGAUGGCAAGGGAACAACAGAUCUCCUCAACAAGCAUCUCAUCAAGGAUGGCCAUCUGUUAGGAGAAGGCCAUAAUCAUCAAGUUACAGAUGUCCGUUUUAGACCAAACUCAACGGUCUUUGCAACAUUUUCCUUAGAUAGAACUGUGAAGAUAUGGGAUGGUACUACCUCUAUUUGCCAUUGCAGAUCCUUGGUCGAAUGAGUCUUUUAGUUACUUUUCUUGGUAAGUUGCAAUGGCUCAGAUAUGGCAGUCAACAUAGAGUAAAAUCACCAGGAUAUGUAUUCACUAGUUCUAUGAUUUUGUUGUUCUUGGUCUACAUUAUUUCUUCUGAUUUCUGUGUUAAUAUUAUCCUGAUUCUUUUGCUUGUACUUAGACGAGAACAUCUAUAUUUUUUUAGCUGCUCAUACAAUUGUCAGUGUGACAUAUAUUGCCACAUCCUUUAUCUCUGUAGUGAGGAUGCUCAAAUGAUUCAACCGCAAUUAUAUCAAAUAUGAGCAUCAUCAUGUUAUGCUGUCUAUAAUACAUUUCAUUUGAGUCAAUAAUUGAGGAACUUGCUGUUACCAGAAAACAUCUUAUGCAGUCCUUAGACCUUCAUAAUCUUUUUUCUUUUCUUCUGGUUAUCAGGAUUUUUUCAUAAUGAUAAUUGUCUAAUCUCUUGAAUUGCUUCCUUUUAAUCUGUAUCUAUUACAACCAUGAUACUGUACAUAUCUCACCAUUUUGUCAUAAUCCAGCCAAGCCCCCUUUCCGAAACCUUGUCGGGCAUGUGAUAUCAAUAGAUUUUCAUCCAACAAAGGUGGGUCUCAUCGGUUCUUGUGAUAGCAAUGAUGAGAUUAGACUGUGGGAUAUCAAUAGGGGUGAUUGCAAACUCAUGCUUAAGGAAGGUAGUAGACACGUUAGAUUUCAACCUCAACUUGGGGACUUUUUAGCAAGUUCUUCUGGAAAUAUUAUAAAUAUCUUUGAUGUCGAGACUAACAGCAUCUGGAAAAAGUUACAAGGAAAUGAGGUGGUAAUAACCUGGCAUCCAUGAGCAAGGAUAGUGCACGGAUAUGGUCUGUUAGUGAAGGAAAGUGUAUGUUUGAACUGUUCUCCUGUGUCCAAAAGUUCCAGACGUGCAGUUUCCACCCUGGGUACACUCAAGUGUUGGUGAUUGGUUCCGAUGAGUUACUUGAGCUGUGGAAUCCUUUUUUCCAGAGCAAUAGAACUUGGUCCAUCUUGCACAUGAUGGUAUAAUUUCUUCGUUAGCAGAUUCACCUCAGCAUGAAAUCAUAGCCUCAGUGAGUCAUGAUCAGUUGAUCAAGAUAUGGGAAUGAUGCUUGUCUCUUCGUGGAUCAAAAUGCUGCAAUCAUACGAAGAAAUCACAGGAUUUGCCCUUCAAAUGGGCUGGUCUUUAAGUUUUGCCCUUCAAAAAUUUAUAUUUUCACAUGUAAUAUCCCACAAGUUAUGCCCCGCAUGUCUUUUGCCUUAAAGAACUUAUGUCCCG